UAACAAAUCACUUGUAUGAUAGAAAAAUUGAAAGAUGCAUAUCUGCAGAUAAUAGUGUUUUUAUGUGGUGCAUUUAGCCUUGUUAUUUCAUCUCAGUUCUUAAUAAAUCAUUUAUUUGUUUCCACACGAGAAAAACCUCAUUUUCGCCAGACAAGUCAUUUUAAAGUAUUGCUAAUUUAAAGGAACAUUUUUUUAUCCCUAGUAUUUAAUUAGUAAUGAAGAAUUUAAGGCAGCAUAUUCAACAGUGAAAAGAUAAGAGACUGAUUAUACUGUUUUGCAUUAGAAAACUUUAAGGAUGUCAUAUUCCUUCCAUCUUUUCAGGUCCUGUUCGUCGUCUAUUAUUAAGUGUUCAGUUUUGACAUCUGGUUCCUGUGGAAUCUGCUGACUGUCAUGUUGCCACCUUCAAAUUCUUUAUUCUGAGUUUCUGAAGAAUGUUUAAAUAUUCCAUCUCCAUGUUCAUGCUGUAGCUUGUAAUUACAUUGUAUUAAACUUGGCUGUUCUUAUGUUGACACAAAAAUUAUUUAUAGUUCUGUGAUGAGACAUGAAAAUACGUUUUUCAAUUUCAAUAAGCUUUCAAUCAAUUUUUGCAUAUAUCCAUGCUGUAAAAAAAUCCCAUCUGCCUAAAUAUAUAAAAAGGCAUUUGGAAAAUAUAUUUUUCAUAAAUGUAAGAAACGGUUAUUUGCUAAAUGUGUCUUUAAAAAACAGUUUUUUUGUUUUAUUUGUUUAAAGUGCCAAAUGAAAACAUGAUUUUUCAAUUUCAAGGACACCCACUGGCUUUCUGUGUCCAUUAACACUUAUGUACCAAAGCAGAAUCUCAUAUUUAUCAUAUAAUUCAUGUUUUGUUUGGAAGUGUUUAUGCAAAUCAACAUUAUGAGAAAUGGGAGCCUAAAUUUUUUUUGAAAUUUAUGGAGAUAGCAUUUCUUUUAUAAUGCAACUUUAGAAUAAAAAAGAAUCUGUAAAA